GACGAACGCUGGCGGCGUGCUUAACACAUGCAAGUCGAACGAAGAGCGAUGGAAGCUUGCUUCUAUCAAUCUUAGUGGCGAACGGGUGAGUAACGCGUAAUCAACCUGCCCUUCAGAGGGGGACAACAGUUGGAAACGACUGCUAAUACCGCAUACGAUCUAACCUCGGCAUCGAGGAUGGAUGAAAGGUGGCCUCUAUUUAUAAGCUAUCACUGAAGGAGGGGAUUGCGUCUGAUUAGCUAGUUGGAGGGGUAACGGCCCACCAAGGCGAUGAUCAGUAGCCGGUCUGAGAGGAUGAACGGCCACAUUGGGACUGAGACACGGCCCAGACUCCUACGGGAGGCAGCAGUGGGGAAUCUUCCGCAAUGGACGAAAGUCUGACGGAGCAACGCCGCGUGAGUGAUGACGGCCUUCGGGUUGUAAAGCUCUGUUAAUCGGGACGAAAGGCCUUCUUGCGAAUAGUUAGAAGGAUUGACGGACCGAAUAGAAGC
rnacentral:rRNA from 1 species